rnacentral:rRNA from 1 species
AAGGAGCUUGCUCCUUUGACGUUAGCGGCGGACGGGUGAGUAACACGUGGGUAACCUACCUAUAAGACUGGGAUAACUUCGGGAAACCGGAGCUAAUACCGGAUAAUAUUUCGAACCGCAUGGUUCGAUAGUGAAAGAUGGCUUUGCUAUCACUUAUAGAUGGACCUGCGCCGUAUUAGCUAGUUGGUAAGGUAACGGCUUACCAAGGCAACGAUACGUAGCCGACCUGAGAGGGUGAUCGGCCACACUGGAACUGAGACACGGUCCAGACUCCUACGGGAGGCAGCAGUAGGGAAUCUUCCGCAAUGGGCGAAAGCCUGACGGAGCAACGCCGCGUGAGUGAUGAAGGUCUUCGGAUCGUAAAACUCUGUUAUUAGGGAAGAACAAACGUGUAAGUAACUGUGCACGUCUUGACGGUACCUAAUCAGAAAGCCACGGCUAACUACGUGCCAGCAGCCGCGGUAAUACGUAGGUGGCAAGCGUUAUCCGGAAUUAUUGGGCGUAAAGCGCGCGUAGGCGGUUUUUUAAGUCUGAUGUGAAAGCCCACGGCUCAACCGUGGAGGGUCAUUGGAAACUGGAAAACUUGAGUGCAGAAGAGGAAAGUGGAAUUCCAUGUGUAGCGGUGAAAUGCGCAGAGAUAUGGAGGAACACCAGUGGCGAAGGCGACUUUCUGGUCUGUAACUGACGCUGAUGUGCGAAAGCGUGGGGAUCAAACAGGAUUAGAUACCCUGGUAGUCCACGCCGUAAACGAUGAGUGCUAAGUGUUAGGGGGUUUCCGCCNCCUUAGUGCUGCAGCUAACGCAUUAAGCACUCCGCCUGGGGAGUACGACCGCAAGGGUUGAAACUCAAAGGAAUUGACGGGG